GACGAACGCUGGCGGCGUGCUUAACACAUGCAAGUCGAGCGGUAAGGCCCUUUCGGGGGUACGACGAGCGGCGAACGGGUGAGUAACACGUGGGUGACCUGCCCUCAGCUCUGGGAUAAGCCCGGGAAACUAGGUCUAAUACCGGAUAUGACUCCAUGACGCAUGUUGUGGGGUGGAAAGCCUUGUGCGGCUGAGGAUGGGCCCGCGGCCUAUCAGCUUGUUGGUGGGGUGAUGGCCUACCAAGGCGACGACGGGUAGCCGGCCUGAGAGGGCGACCGGCCACACUGGGACUGAGACACGGCCCAGACUCCUACGGGAGGCAGCAGUGGGGAAUCUUGCGCAAUGGGCGAAAGCCUGACGCAGCGACGCCGCGUGAGGGAUGACGGCCUGUGU
rnacentral:rRNA from 1 species